UUGUGAACACAUAUGAUUUUUUUUGAUCUGGAGUAAUUCUCAAAUACAAUUAUGUCUCUGCAGCCUAUGUUGCUAUGGAAUCCAGGCACAUGGAAAGGCAGUAUUACCUCAUUAAGCAUAGAUACCCUCAAGUGGUGAAUAAGUUUUAUUUUUCAAAUUACCACUAGGGAUACUCUUAAGUAAAUAGUAUGGAAAAAUACUGCUUUAAAAAGCAAUCUUAAAUGUUAUUUCCUAGAUACUAUGUAAAUAUUUCCAGGACUUAGUUGUUAUUAAUAACCAGAAACACUAAUCUUUUCAUCUCACUGUUUUUUGAUUAGUGGAUAGUCCACUUAUUAAAACUGUUACUUAGUAACUGUUUUCAGGGUAUGUUAGGAAGGGGUAUGCUAGUAAGUAGAAAGUACUUCAUCCUUUGGAGCUUCUUGUUCUUUUUCAUGUGCUGUGUCAUUACUGACAACCAGUUCUACAUAUGUGGUAAAAUUCUGCUCUCCUACAAAUUAAUGUAUCUUAUUCACAGAUCAUAGGACAAGCGGCUUAAUACUUACCUGACAUUGAAACUGGAAAGGAGGCCUUUCAUUACAAGUUCAAACUUCGUUUUUGAUUAUAAAUGAUAGGAUGUCAUUAUUCCCUGAAAAAGAAGAAUAAGAAAUAUAUCCCCCCAAAAUAAAAUGAAAGCAAAGCUCAUAGUCAAAAUAGCACCAUGCUGACCAAGCACUUGCUUAUGUUAAUUUAUUUGAAUAACAAUGUCUGAAGCUGAUAAAAUAGCAGGUUGUUUCUCACUUUUCUAGACUUUAAAAAAAAAAUACCAAUAUAAAUUUUAGACUAUAAUGAUCUUUAGAAGCACAGUAAGAGUACAUCUAAGCAGGAAAUGAAAGCUAAAUCAUUAUAAAUUAUUGGAGUUAUUUUCCUGUGACCUAAAAACUUGGUCCCAGGGUGAGCAAGAUGUCAUAAUGGGUGAAGACACUCACCACCAAGCCUGAUGAAUUGUUCUCAGUCCCUGGACCCCACUUGGUAGAAGAAAACAAAGGAUUUGAAGACAGGUCCAGUCCUCUGAUCUCCGCAUGCAUGCCAUGGCACAUGUGUAUGCAUGCGUGCAUGUGUGCGUGCCUGCAUAAAAGUGGAAAAAAGAUACUGCAUGGAUUUGGUGGUUGUGUGGUGUGCUUGUGCUAAAAGUAACUCAAGAUGCAAAAAUCUAGUCUCAGAUUACAUUGGUUUUGUUAGGGUACAAAUUGUCCUCUUAGAGAAAUGUCACACGGCCAGAAGGAAGGAUCACAAAAGAUGAUGGGUUCUUUGUACAACAAGCCGGUGUUAACUCAGCAGUUACUUUGUUCUCUUGAUACUUGCUCCAUUAUUUGUUAUUCCAUGGGAGAUUACUUCUUGCCCAUUUUUCUCUUUUGCAAAGAUUUCUCCCAUUUUUGUCAUCUUACAUAAAUUUAAGAGUAUAUUUUCCAUGGUUGGAGAGAUCACUGGUUAAAAGCACUGGCUACUAUUCCAGAGGACCCAGGUUCAAUUCCCAGUACCCACAUGGCAGCUCACAACUCUGUAACUCCAGUUCUGGGGGUCCUACACCAUCACACAGAUGUCCAUACAGGCGAAACACCAAUACACAUUUAAAAAAUAAUUUAUCUUUUUAAAAACCUUUUUUUCCAAAUUACUGAGGACCUGGAUGGAUAAAGUCUCUCCCCAAAUCAAGUCAUAUUGUAGAUAUUCCAGAAAUGUUGUAGCCAAUCAGUAAGAUCAGUUAUUCAGAAUCUGUGUGUAAUUACUGAUAAACACUAAAAAGGGAAGUGUUAUACUAUAUCUAUAUAAGCAGUCUAAUAAUUGACAGCAAAGUGACACACACAUCCUCUCAGUUCCAUAAUUAUACUCCUAGUUUAUAAAGUCAAGUGAGUGUCCAUGCACACAUACAUGUACACUGAACUUACAAAGCCUUAUAAUGACUUAUGUUGACAUUCAGUAUCUUAUUGAUAACUAUUUACAUUGUUGAAAAAAAUCACUAUAAACUUCAAAGUUGAUUCUAAAAUAUUUUUCAUAUGGAAAAUUAAUAUAGCUAAGUGUGCUAUUUGAGUACAAUUAUAAGAAAUGGCAUGGUUUUCCUAAACCCUAAAAGUAACAAGAUAUAUUAGAGAAGAUGGAAAGGAAGAUCAAUAAUACUCUAUCCCUGGAAUCGUGAUGAUUUCCAGUCAGCAUUUGUAAAUAUAAUGAAGAGAUACAAAAGGCGUUUCUGAUCCUUCAAAGAUGUUCGCCUUCCGACCUUCUUUAUCCCUGCCUUUAUCAUCUUUAGGAAUACAAAUGAACUUUAAUUUUAAAAUGUUUGAACUUCUGUACCUUGUAUAAGUUAUCAGACUCUGGAUUUGAAAAAAAAAAAAGAAACUAAAUUCUUUUUAUUUCUGCUGGUUUCACUUUACUGUAUAUUUAUAUUAUUAAAUGUAUUAAAAAAGGAAUAGGUUAACGUUGUUAACUAUGUGUAAUUGCUAAAUUAUAUCAGUGAAACCAUUACAUUGAAACUUGUGUCUAAAUGAUUUCUUAGGCUUUGUUUGAAGUGUAAACUCAAACCCCAUUAUGACCAAAUUAGAUUUAAAGAAAGUGAAUGAAUCCUAAUAAAGAAAACUGUUCUUGUUGCACUGUUCUAAAUACAGAAGGUAUAUUUGGUAUGGUUGGUGAAAUAGCUUUUGUUAUUAUUUAAGUUACAAUUUCUUACUACAAAUUUAAUAAUGAAUUCUCCAAAGGAAUGGGAUAUCGUGAGUUAUAUUUGAAAGGAUUGGAAGAAAAGUGUUACAAUCUGCUUCUAAGGUAUAUAUUUGUUUUAUUACAAUUAUAUUUACUUCCAUAAUUGGCCAAUUGAUGGAUCUUUCAGGUAUCCAGAAUUAUGUCUGCAUAGAAUAAAUUAUAGUUAUAUUAAGAGCCUUAAAGUGGAAAAAGGACUCUUUUGACUGCCUUAACAUAUAACAUAUGACAUAUGACAUAUGUCCUUUCCAAACAUACUGAUUUCUUUAGGGUCUGUUAAAUAAGUAAUGCCUUAAUAGUCUGCUAAUGUUUCUGAAGAGUAGAGUUUACAGGGUCUUCUAGAGCUUUUAAUUUUACGUAAUGAAUGGAAAUUUAACUGUUAGGUAUUAAACCUGAUUGCACAUUAAUAAUCUAAAACAAGAAAAGAAUAAUCUGGCUAUGCUGAUGUGUUAUAAAUAAACGACUGUAACAUCAGUAUAUUUUAUGGUUGCUUAAGAUUUUUUAUUGUUUUGUAUAACCAGUUAUCCAGAAGCUGGACUUCCUGGCUAUAAUAUGACCUCCAAGGACCGUGUUGCAUAUUUAACACUGGAUGAAAAGUACAGUUGUAUAGUUUCAAAAAGAACUGCUUUUUACGGGGAAAUUUUAAGGCAAAAAGCAAAUGUUUUGGCUCAAGCCUAUGACCAAAGUCAUUUAGAGAAUUGAAGAUAGUAUUAAAACCUUGAGACUCUUGCAAUAAAAAUAUCAGGCCAGUGACUUGAUUCAUUGCAUUCACAUUUUGCAUUUGUUUUGCCUUCCAAAGCAGAAAAAUCUUGCAAAACUGAAAGAAUGCUUUAAAUUGUCACGCUGGUGCUUAAAGACCUAUUAUUACGCUUGCUGUGUAACUAGCUUAUUUCCAGGACAGGAGCCCGGGGAGGGCACACAGGCCUUUCCUAGGACUUGUGACUUACUGAUACUGUCAAGUCUUCCCAGUUUGCAGUGUACAUAACAUGUGACAGUGUGACAUUGAUAUUUUCCACUGAGGCAUGGGUGAAUGCUUCAAUUAUUCUACUUCAUGGUAAAAGUUUUCACUAAUACCGAGAAAUCUUGAUUUUUGUAACCUUGCAAAAUAACCUAUUACAUCCAAGUUGAUUAUCUCUUACCUGAAAUGCGUGGGGCCACGAGUAUUUUAAGAUUCUUUUUUCCCAUUUUGGAACCCUUUUCAGAUGUAUAAUGGAACACCUGGGAUUUGCUGUAUGAGCCUCAUGUGUGUCAUGUGAAAGAAAAACAUUGUUUUUUAAUGGACGUGCUUUUGACUGUGACUUGGCAAUUGGUCUACUGUGGAACUUUCCACGUGCAUUAUUAUGUUAACAUUCUGAUAUUUCCAAUUCUGGAGCUUUCUAAAACUUUGUAUUUUCAAAUUAGGGAUGCUUAACCUGUAAGUCAUUACAGAUGUGGAGCGGGCACUACACGAACUGUUUGUCACCAGUUUAUUGUAGAAAUUGAUAGGUGUACCAAAUAAAUUAUAUGGAUAUCAAGUAACUGUCUUUUAAUCUUUUUUAAAAACACAUGAAUUUUAAGGUUGUAAUAUGCCUUAUAUGUAAAACCCUGAAGCAUCUGUUACAAUUCAAAAGAUUAAAAAAAAUUAACUUUCUGU
rnacentral:lncRNA from 1 species